rnacentral:tRNA from 1 species
GGUCCCGUCGUCUAGUGGCCUAGGAUAUCGGGCUCUCAUCCCGGCGACAGGGGUUCGAAUCCCCUCGGGACCACCA